rnacentral:misc_RNA from 1 species
UUUGUCCGGCAACUGAAUACCUAUGGUUUCCGUAAAGUUGCAACUAGCCGAUGGGAGUUCUGCAAUGAUAUGUUUCGAAAGGCUGAAAGAGAGCUUCUUUGCCAAAUCCGUCGACGAAAAGCAUGGUCUAAUAAGCAACAACCUACCGCACCAAUUCAAGCUACACCACAAGAUUUUGACGAAGAUCAAAGAUCAUCAUCAACUUCGUCGUCGUCUGAAUACAGUACCUUAAUCGAUGAAAAUCAACGUCUCAAGAAAGAAAACGGGGUCUUGAGCUCGGAACUCACUGGCAUGAAAAAGAAGUGCAAGGAGCUUCUUGAUUUAGUGGCUAAAUAUGCACACUUGGAGAAAGAAGAAGAUGAUGAUGGUGAUGAGAGGCCAAAGUUGUUUGGUGUGA